rnacentral:rRNA from 1 species
ACGUACACUCCUGCGGGAGGCAGCAGUGGGGAAUUUUGGACAAUGGGCGAAAGCCUGAUCCAGCCAUGCCGCGUGCAGGAUGAAGGCCUUCGGGUUGUAAACUGCUUUUGUACGGAACGAAACGGCCUUUUCUAAUAAAGAGGGCUAAUGACGGUACCGUAAGAAUAAGCACCGGCUAACUACGUGCCAGCAGCCGCGGUAAUACGUAGGGUGCAAGCGUUAAUCGGAAUUACUGGGCGUAAAGCGUGCGCAGGCGGUUAUGUAAGACAGUUGUGAAAUCCCCGGGCUCGACCUGGGAACUGCAUCUGUGACUGCAUAGCUAGAGUACGGUAGAGGGGGAUGGAAUUCCGCGUGUAGCAGUGAAAUGCGUAGAUAUGCGGAGGAACACCGAUGGCGAAGGCAAUCCCCUGGACCUGUACUGACGCUCAUGCACGAAAGCGUGGGGAGCAAACAGGAUUAGAUACCCCUGUAGUCCCA